rnacentral:rRNA from 1 species
CCUACGGGUGGCAGCAGUGAGGAAUAUUGGUCAAUAGACGAAAGUCUGAACCAGCCAAGUCGCGUGAAGGAUGACUGCCCUAUGGGUUGUAAACUUCUUUUAUAUGGGAAUAAAAUGUUCCACGUGUGGGAUUUUGUAUGUACCAUAUGAAUAAGGAUCGGCUAACUCCGUGCCAGCAGCCGCGGUAAUACGGAGGAGCCGAGCGUUAUCCGGAUUUAUUGGGUUUAAGGGGAACGUAGGUGGAUUGUUAAGUCAGUUGUGAAAGUUUGCGGCUCAACCGUAGAAUUGCAGUUGAAACUGGCAGUCUUGAGUACAGUAGAGGUGGGCGGAAUUCGUGGUGUAGCGGUGAAAUGCGUAGAUAUCACGAAGAACUCCGAUUGCGAAGGCAGGUCACGAGACUGCAACUGACACUGAGGCUCGAAAGUGUGGGUAUCAAACAGGAUUAGAUACCCUUGUAGUC